UUAAAUUGAAGAGUUUGAUCAUGGCUCAGAUUGAACGCUGGCGGCAGGCCUAACACAUGCAAGUCGAACGGUAACAGGAAGCAGCUUGCUGCUUUGCUGACGAGUGGCGGACGGGUGAGUAAUGUCUGGGAAACUGCCUGAUGGAGGGGGGUAACUACUGGAAACGGUAGCUAAUACCGCAUAACGUCGCAAGACCAAAGAGGGGGACCUUCGGGCCUCUUGCCAUCGGAUGUGCCCAGAUGGGAUUAGCUAGUAGGUGGGGUAACGGC
rnacentral:rRNA from 1 species